GCCCGCAGAACCGAAGGGUGAGCGUUGUGGAGCGCACGCUCAGAGCACACAGCUCAUAGGAGGCAGGAUGUGAUAGUCCAAAACCCUGGGAGCUGACGGUCAGAGGGAGGGAAAGGUGGUUACCGAGAUCAUGCAGAGCAACGGGAGGUGGAGGAUCCUGGAGGUGACAGCAAGGAGAGUACGCUAUGGCUAGGGGUUGCUGAAGCGGGUCACUGUGACUUCUGUGGGGACGCAGGGCAAGCGGGCAAGAGGAAGGGAAGGCAGUCCUGGGGCGCCGCGGACUGGCACCGCUGGGGCGGGGGAUAACAUGUCCCGCGAGAGGCCCCCCCGCACCGACAUACCCCGCAACCUGAGCUUUAUAGCUGCGCUAACCGAGCGCGCCUACUACCGCAGCCAGCGGCCCAGCCUCGAGGAGGAGCCGGAGGAGGAGCCAGCCGAGGGCGGGACGCGCCUGGGGGCUCGAUCCCGUGCUCCCGCUCCGAGUCGGGGUCGCCGGGCCCGUUCCGCACCCGCAGGAGGCGGCGGGGCCCGGGCGCCCCGCAGCAGAAGCCCGGACACCCGCAAGAGAGUGCGUUUCGCUGACGCGCUGGGGCUGGAGCUGGCCGCGGUGCGCCGCUUCCGCCCCGGAGAGCUGCCUCGGGUACCUCGCCACGUGCAGAUCCAGCUGCAAAGAGACGCCCUCCGCCACUUCGCGCCGUGCCAGCCGCGCGCCCGCAGCCUCCAGGAGGCGCGCGCCGCCCUAGAGCCUGCCAGCGAGCCCGGCUUCGCCGCCCGCUUACAGGCGCAGCGCAUCUGCCUAGAACGCGCCGAGGCGGGCCCCCUGGGCGUGGCUGGGAGCGCGCGCGUUCUGGACCUGGCCUACGAGAAGCGCGUUAGCGUGCGCUGGAGCGCCGACGGCUGGAGAAGCCAGCGCGAAGCGCCCGCUGCCUACGCCGGUCCGGCCCCGCCCCCGCCGCGCGCCGAUCGUUUCGCCUUCCGCCUUCCAGCACCGCCGAUUGGGGGCGCCCUGCUCUUCGCCCUACGCUACCGUGUGACUGGUCGCGAGUUCUGGGACAACAACGGCGGCCGCGACUAUGCUCUACGUGGGCCCGAACACCCGGGCAGUGGCGGAGUCCCGGAGCCCCAGGGCUGGAUCCACUUUAUCUAAGACAAGACGCCCUCAGCCCAUGGCGGAAAAAAAAAAGGCACCCAGGGUUGGGGGGGGGGACUAGAAAACUACGUGGUGGGAGAAACUUAGGGAGCGGUCCCAGUCAGGUGGGGGAGGGCGAGGAAGGCGGGAGAAAUCAAGGAGUUUGGGGGUACUUGGGGUGGAAAAUGCUGGCUGGGCGUGAGUGGAAAGAACCCAUGGCAUAGGAGAAAGGAAGCCGGAAAGGACACUGAAGGGAUUAAAAGAAAGCAUAAGAAUGGGGAUGAUAGUAGCCUCUUCCCUGAGUUGUAACUGGGAGAGAGUGAGUUGGCCCCACAGGCUUACGGAGAUGUUAGGAACGUCUUUGGAUUUGAGGAGGCGUUAUGGAUUGAGGAGGUGUGAUGUGUGAAUUAGUCCACCCCAUUUGAAGUCAACGGAUCGUGCUGGCUUACUUCCGUUUAUCGGCCUUUGCCACCUCAGGUCCCUCAGUCCUGCCCAUCCUAGCUUUAUCUCAGCCAUAAAUGCCUUGCUUAAUCCUAGGAACUUAGCCAUUGCUCCCCCUGAACCCUGGCAUUAUGACAGGAUUUCCUUGUCACCCGACAGUUCCUCCCUGAAAUUUUUAUGUAUUGGCUGGGGAAUGAUGACAAGUAGUAGAACUCUUUUCUCCAACCUCCAGGCAAAUUAGGGAUUAUAAUCGAGGCAAAAGCAACUCCAAGCCUGUCCUUGUAGCCAAAUAAUGGGGCACCUAAGGUGUUGGUAUACUCAGGGGCUUCCAGAAGAAUGCCAGCCUUAUAUUUCUGGGUGCCUUCUAAAAACUUCUAAGCACUUUAUGGACUGUUGUCAAGGAACAGUGAAUCACAAAAAUCACUUUUCUGAUUUAGAAGAAAAAGAAGUCACUGAUUUGCUGUACCACUUUAAGCAAGUUACUUCACUUCUUUGGGCCCCACUUUCCUUCUUGGGAAAUUGGAUUUGAUUUAGGUGGUCUUUUUAAGGCUUCAUUUUGUUUGACAUUUUAUCAUCUGCAUUGUAUAGUGAGGAUUAGAAGCCACAUUCUUCAACCUUUUGCUACAUUUCAGGAGACACAGAGCCCUGAACUUAAGGUUGUGGCCAAGGAUGGGCCCUCCAGUUUUGGGCAAAAAUGUUCCAGAAGCCAGCAAGUAUUCCACAAUCACCCUGCAACUUCUUCCAAACCUUGGCACAUUCUCUGCCCCUUGCUGUUUGCUCUUGCCUCCAGAGACUUCCAGACUGGAUGCUCUGAGACAGCUUUGGGGAGGCAUAUCUGAGUUGGGGGAAAUGAUGUAAGAGCCCCCAACGAAAGGAAACAAUGCCAGGAUCUCUCUUGAAAAUGGAAAAACCAUCAAGAAUGAGAGCAACUUGACAAGUGACACCAGAAGAUGGCAGUCUUAUCCAUAUUCUGAGCAUGUGAAAUGGGAAAGCUGACUCUUCUACCCAUUCUCAUUCAUGCCUUAUGUCUCUCCUGGUUAACCUCAACAUGGGAGUUCUUUCUUUCCUGGUCACUUGGUUUCCUUUCCUCUUACCCUAUACCUAACCUCUUCACUUCCUGCUUUCUUUCCUUGUUCCUCUCCCUUCUCAUCACUUUAUUUUCUUUGAACAUGUAAGUUAUUUACUUUUAUUGUAGGUUUUUUACCUUAAUUUUCUCCCUUUCCCUCUUCAUUCUUAGUUGAUUUCUGCUAUUGCUUCUUUCUCCAGAAGGGGUAGAGAACCUUUUCUCCAAGACAAUGGUUGAUCCACCUUCCUCCCUCAGGCUCCUUCUUGACAGUCUUCUAAAGGGAGAAAAGGGAAAAGAAGCAGUUCCUGUUGUUACAGAUGAACAAGGAGCCCUCAGGUCACCCUAAGGUCAGAGUUCCAGCAAAGUGAGGAGAGAAACUACUGGAAGUCACCAAGCAAUGUACUAUUUAAUCAUCAAGAGGAACACAGGAAGUCUGGGUCAAGGUUCAGUGUGUAACAAUGUCUUGCCUGAUGUAUAUGUGUUACUGUUAUGACACAUUAACAGUAGUAAUAGCUUAUGUUUUCUUAACAUUUAUCUGCUAAAAUCUGUUUUGUGUGCAUGCUCAAAAUAAUCCUAUGAGUUGAGUAUUAUCAUUAUUCCUGUUUUAUUAAAGAUAAGCCCCAGAGAAACUCAGUGUUUUGUUCAAGAUUUCACUGCUAAGCAAGGUGCACCUGUAAUCCCAGUGACUCGAAGGCUGAGACAGGAGGAUUGCGAGUCUAAGGCUAGCCUCUGCAAUUUAAUGAGAACCUGUUUCAAAAUAAAAAGGACAGGGAAUAUAGCUCAGUGGUAAA